ensembl:lncRNA
UCCUUCUUCCAGCUCAACUCCAUCUACGGCUGUGCCACGUGUAAAACACACGUGUUUUAUGGCAAUGUGUCAGCGAUGUCCUUCAGCAAUCAAACUGGAACCGUGCUCGUAAAGGCUAGUCUCGUGUUCCAGUCAAACAAAACCAACGCUGAUGAGAUCAAAGGGCUGUUUAUGAACGCGACCGCUGCCGAUAACGAAAUAAACGGCCUUAAAGUCAACCCUAAUUUCACACAAGUCAUAGCACCACCGUCCACCCCUGCACCAACUGUCUCCAGCACUUCCCAUACAACCAAGUCUCCACUUCUUGCAACUACACACUACAACACCGCCUCGUCCUUUAAUCAAAGUCCCAUUGCUCUGACGUCAAUUCUCCGCUAUACUGUUUCGUUCUGCCUGCUUUACUUCCUCAGCUAUUCUUUUUAAUUGUGUAAACCUGCCACUAGGGGCAGUGCAACAUCUUUAUAUAAUGAAAUACGUUAAUCUACAGGGUGUACCAACAAUCUCCUUACAUAGUGGACUAUGUUCACCAGCAUCACGUCGGUUGUGUCUUUAUGAGUGGAUGUUGGUGAAUGUCCACUUCUCGGUCUGCAACACUUAUAUAUAUAUAUAUAUAUAUAUAUAUAUAUAUAUAUGAAAUAAAUGCUAAGUAUGAAAAUUUUGGAAGACAUUUUGCUAAAAAAUGGUUAAUUCCUCCUGUGUAUGGAGACUUUUGGGACAUCCUGUGUAAUAUAAAUAAAUCUGAAAUAGUUAUUAUCUUUUCCCUGUGGGGGUUUCCUCUGGGUUCUCCAGAGUUCUUCCUCCCAAUUAACAAUGACAACAAAAAAAACAUGCCGGCAGAUUACCCCUACGUUUGAACAAGUGUGUGAAAAAAUGUGUGUGUGCAGGGUGCCAUGCGAUGGACUGGCUCACUUAACCCCCGGUGUUCCUAUGAUUGGCUCCGGAUACUGAAAAUAAUUGAAUGGAUGGAUGAAAUAUUUGUACUAUUAACAUUAUGCUAUAAUGGUCUAAGUAAUGGCAAGUAAAUGAUUGUUUUCUUUUGUGGUGCUUUACUUUACAUAUUUUACAAGAUUUAAAAAAAAUAAAAAUCUCAAUCUAUUCAAAUUUAUUCUCUUGUAAUGAGAAUGUGUUAAAACAAUAAUGUCACAUGACUGAACAAAUAUUCUUGAAUGAAAUGUGUAGAAAUGAUCGAUUGAAACUCAUUUGUCGAAACUUUAUGAGCAUAUAACAUAAUAUCACAAAAAUAUAUAUGAUAUGAUAUGAUAUAGUUUUGCGUCUUUACUGCCUUUACAUACGUUUUUCCUGUAUGCUUCUUGACCAACUUGUCAUGUUCCAAUUAUUAUAAUACAUCCUUUCAUACCACAGCACUGUCCAGAUGAUAGAUUAUGAUCGUUAAGGUGUUAAUAAACUUUCUAUAACAGCAUGUUUGACAAUAGUUCUGCUAG